AACGCUGGCGGCGUGCCUAACACAUGCAAGUCGAACGGAACUGUUUUGAAAGAUUUCUUCGGAAUGAAUUUGAUUUAGUUUAGUGGCGGACGGGUGAGUAACGCGUGAGUAACCUGCCUUCAAGAGGGGGAUAACAUUCUGAAAAGAAUGCUAAUACCGCAUGACAUAUCGGAACCACAUGAUUUUGAUAUCAAAGAUUUUAUCGCUUGAAGAUGGACUCGCGUCCGAUUAGUUAGUUGGUGAGGUAACGGCUCACCAAGACCGCGAUCGGUAGCCGGACUGAGAGGUUGAACGGCCACAUUGGGACUGAGACACGGCCCAGACUCCUACGGGAGGCAGCAGUGGGGGAUAUUGCGCAAUGGGGGCAACCCUGACGCAGCAACGCCGCGUGAAGGAUGAAGGUUUUCGGAUUGUAAACUUCUUUUAUUAAGGACGAAAAAUGACGGUACUUAAUGAAUAAGCUCCGGCUAACUACGUGCCAGCAGCCGCGGUAAUACGUAGGGAGCAAGCGUUGUCCGGAUUUACUGGGUGUAAAGGGUGCGUAGGCGGCUUUGCAAGUCAGAUGUGAAAUCUAUGGGCUCAACCCAUAAACUGCAUUUGAAACUGUAGAGCUUGAGUGAAGUAGAGGCAGGCGGAAUUCCCCGUGUAGCGGUGAAAUGCGUAGAGAUGGGGAGGAACACCAGUGGCGAAGGCGGCCUGCUGGGCUUUAACUGACGCUGAGGCACGAAAGCGUGGGUAGCAAACAGGAUUAGAUACCCUGGUAGUCCACGCUGUAAACGAUGAUUACUAGGUGUGGGGGGUCUGACCCCUUCCGUGCCGGAGUUAACACAAUAAGUAAUCCACCUGGGGAGUACGGCCGCAAGGUUGCAACUCAAAGGAAUUGACGG
rnacentral:rRNA from 1 species